rnacentral:lncRNA from 1 species
UUUCAGAGUCAUUUAACUGGAGGAAAAAAAUAUUUGUCCCCUGUAACUCUUAAGGAAGUUUGAAGAGAAUAUUUACCUCAGUGAACUGAGUGAAUGGGGCAUUAAGUGAAGUACAUUGAGGUGAUGGGAAAAUGACUUCUCACUUUUUUUUUUUUUUUAAUUUUAAAAUGCACACAGAAUUCUUACACUCAGAAGCAACAUCUGAGGAAAUGAGCUUGGGAAACCUGAGAAAGGAAUGAAGGAGUCAUUAGUUUUGCCCAUCUGGCAGCAGAACAGCUGGUCCUGCUGAGUCUGGAGAUUCCUUCCUGAUGUCUCUCCUGCUCAGUGUUACGCAGCUCAGCAGAAUCUUGAG